rnacentral:rRNA from 1 species
AAACGAUUGAAGUCAGUCGUACCAACGAGAAAUCAACUUAUCGUGUGCGAACUUGUGGGCGUGCGUGAGUUUCGGCCUCGCUGUUUGCAUGUUUGUGCAUUUUGGGUGUACUUUUUCGUAUGGUAGGCCAACGUCAGUUUCGAUUACUAUAAAAUGACCGGCGGAAUGUAGCUUCGAUUUCGGUUGAAGUGUUAUAGCCUCUGGUAGAUGUGGUGAUUUGGACUGAGGAUUGCAACGAAUAUCCUUUGGGCUAUCCGUCUGAUCUCUGAAAGUUGCUCAGGUGCCGAAAGCGUGCUUACGGUCAUCUAAGUUGACGGUCAAUAGGUUAGAACGUGAUUACAUUCGUUAAGGAUGUUGGCGUAAUGGCUUUAAACGA